AGAGUUUGAUUCUGGCUCAGGACGAACGCUGGCGGCGCGCCUAACACAUGCAAGUCGAACGAGCAAAGAGGAGCUUGCUUCUCUGAGCGAGUGGCGAACGGGUGAGUAACGCGUGAGGAACCUGCCUCAAAGAGGGGGACAACAGUUGGAAACGACUGCUAAUACCGCAUAAGCCCACGGGUCGGCAUCGACCAGAGGGAAAAGGAGCAAUCCGCUUUGAGAUGGCCUCGCGUCCGAUUAGCUAGUUGGUGAGGUAACGGCCCACCAAGGCGACGAUCGGUAGCCGGACUGAGAGGUUGAACGGCCACAUUGGGACUGAGACACGGCCCAGACUCCUACGGGAGGCAGCAGUGGGGAAUAUUGCACAAUGGGGGAAACCCUGAUGCAGCGACGCCGCGUGGAGGAAGAAGGUCUUCGGAUUGUAAACUCCUGUUGUUGAGGAAGAUAAUGACGGUACUCAACAAGGAAGUGACGGCUAACUACGUGCCAGCAGCCGCGGUAAAACGUAGGUCACAAGCGUUGUCCGGAAUUACUGGGUGUAAAGGGAGCGCAGGCGGGAAGACAAGUUGGAAGUGAAAUCCAUGGGCUCAACCCAUGAACUGCUUUCAAAACUGUUUUUCUUGAGUAGUGCAGAGGUAGGCGGAAUUCCCGGUGUAGCGGUGGAAUGCGUAGAUAUCGGGAGGAACACCAGCGGCGAAGGCGGCCUACUGGGCACCAACUGACGCUGAGGCUCGAAAGUGUGGGUAGCAAACAGGAUUAGAUACCCUGGUAGUCCACACCGUAAACGAUGAUUACUAGGUGUUGGAGGAUUGACCCCUUCAGUGCCGCAGUUAACACAAUAAGUAAUCCACCUGGGGAGUACGACCGCAAGGUUGAAACUCAAAGGAAUUGACGGGGGCCCGCACAAGCAGUGGAGUAUGUGGUUUAAUUCGACGCAACGCGAAGAACCUUACCAAGUCUUGACAUCCUGCGACGGACAUAGAAAUAUGUCUUUCCUUCGGGACGCAGAGACAGGUGGUGCAUGGUUGUCGUCAGCUCGUGUAGUGAGAUGUUGGGUUAAGUCCCGCAACGAGCGCAACCCUUAUGGUCAGUUACUACGCAAGAGGACUCUGGCCAGACUGCCGUUGACAAAACGGAGGAAGGUGGGGAUGACGUCAAAUCAUCAUGCCCUUUAUGACUUGGGCUACACACGUACUACAAUGGCGUUAAACAAAGAGAAGCAAGACCGCGAGGUGGAGCAAAACUCAGAAACAACGUCCCAGUUCGGACUGCAGGCUGCAACUCGCCUGCACGAAGUCGGAAUUGCUAGUAAUCGUGGAUCAGCAUGCCACGGUGAAUACGUUCCCGGGCCCUGUACACACCGCCCGUCACACCA
rnacentral:rRNA from 1 species